rnacentral:rRNA from 1 species
UACAGAGGGUGCGAGCGUUGUCCGGAAUCACUGGGCGUAAAGGGCGCGUAGGUGGCCCGACAAGUCAGUGGUGAAAGCUCGACGCUUAACGUCGAGUCGGCCACUGAUACUGUUGGGCUGGAGCACUGUAGAGGCUCAUGGAAUUCCGGGUGUAGCGGUGGAAUGCGUAGAGAUCCGGAAGAACACCGGUGGCGAAGGCGGUGAGCUGGGCAGUAGCUGACACUGAGGCGCGACAGCGUGGGGAGCAAACAGG